AUUGAACGCUGGCGGCAUGCCUUACACAUGCAAGUCGAACGGUAACAGGUCUUCGGAUGCUGACGAGUGGCGAACGGGUGAGUAAUACAUCGGAACGUGCCUAGUAGUGGGGGAUAACUACUCGAAAGAGUGGCUAAUACCGCAUGGGAUCUACGGAUGAAAGCAGGGGAUCGCAAGACCUUGUGCUACUAGAGCGGCCGAUGGCAGAUUAGGUAGUUGGAGGGAUAAAAGCUUACCAAGCCGGCGAUCUGUAGCUGGUCUGAGAGGACGAUCAGCCACACUGGGACGUGAACACGGCUCGGACUCCUGAGGGAAGCAGCAGUGGGGAAUUUUGGAACAUGGGCGCAAGACUGAUCCAGCAAUGCCGCGGGCAGGAUUAAAGCCUUCGGGUUGUAAACUGCUUUUGUACGGAACGAAAAGCCCUUGGGUUAAUACCCUGGGGUCAUGACGGUACCGUAAGAAUAAGCACCGGCUAACUACGUGCCAGCCGCCGCGGUAAGAC
rnacentral:rRNA from 1 species